AUUGAACGCUGGCGGCAUGCCUUACACAUGCAAGUCUAACGGCAGCACGGGUGCUUGCACCUGGUGGCGAGUGGCGAACGGGUGGGUAAUACAUCGGAACGUACCUUAUAGUGGGGGAUAACGCAGCGAAAGCUGUGCUAAUACCGCAUACGUCCUGAGGGGGAAAGCGGGGGAUCGAAAGACCUCGCGCGAUUAGAGCGGCCAAUGCAUGAUUAGCUUGUUGGUGGGGUAAACGCCCACCAAGGCGACGAUCAGUAGCUGGGUUGCGAGGACAUUCAGCAACAAUGGGACGAAGACACGGCCCGGACUCCUACGGGAGGCAGCAGUCGGGAGUUUUGGACAAUGGUGGCAACCCUGAUCCAGCAAUGCCGCGUGAGUGAAGAAGGCCUUCGGGUUGUAAAGCUCUUUUGUCAGGGAAGAAACACCGGCUCUAACACAGUCCGGGAAUGACGGUACCUGAAGAAUAAGCACCGGCUAACUACGUGCCAGCCGCCGCCGUAA
rnacentral:rRNA from 1 species